GGUUGACCUCGGAUCAGGUAGGGAUACCCGCUGAACUAAGCUUAAAACGGGGAGAG
rnacentral:rRNA from 1 species